rnacentral:rRNA from 1 species
AGCGCAGGCGGUUUUCUUAAGUCUGAUGUGAAAGCCUUCGGCUCAACCGAAGAAGUGCAUCGGAAACUGGGAAACUUGAGUGCAGAAGAGGACAGUGGAACUCCAUGUGUAGCGGUGAAAUGCGUAGAUAUAUGGAAGAACACCAGUGGCGAAGGCGGCUGUCUGGUCUGUAACUGACGCUGGUAGGGACUCCGAAAGCGAAUGGGUAGCAAACA